UUUUGACAGCCCUAAAACAAACACUUUUACAAACUAAAGAAGUUGAAGGUUCAAUCUAUAAAGGUUUACUUCUGGUUGAUUUGGUAACUUUACUGUAAUUUUAACAUCAAUGAAUGUUAACUUUGAUAUUUAACUUGUGUACCAGCAAGAGAUUCAGCCUUUGUCCACUUAAAGAUGAGCCAAACACAUGCUUUUUAAAAAUAUUGUCACCUAAACUACAACCAAGAAAUAGUUUGAUCAGUUUGACAAUCUGUUCUUUACUUGAACAAACAUCAGCAUACAUAUCAUCCUAGUGUUUUGUCUCUGUGUUUUACUUCUAUUCAUGGGAAGUGCUAUGCCUUAUCCUAAAGUGAAUCAGAAGAAACAAAACAAACAGACGGUAUGGAAAGAAGUUGUUAAGGUGAGCUUCAUAGUGUUGAGUCGUCGGUGCCAAUAAGAGAGCCGCUAACCCUAACCCUAACCCAUUAUUCUUUAAUCUUUACCAAAACAAAAUACAUCUAACAUUUGAAUUUAAAAGGCGGAAAGGCUUAGACUGAGAGCUGUAUGACCACUAGAGCAAAUCAACUCCAUCAGAACAUUACAGAUUUUAUUCUGCAGUAAAAAUAAAAAAAAGUGAAAGCAUUCUAAAAUGUGUUUAUUGUAAGGCACAAAGUAGACACAUUCUUGCCAAAAACUUUAAUGAAAUAAAUGAUGAUUAAGGCAUGUCACAUUUAACAUCUAAAUCAUCUAAAUCUGAGUGCUGACACUAUUUUUUCAUCUCUCUCAGUUCUCCUCUCACAGCUCAGUACAGUCAGUGUGAACCACAGCUUUGUCAGAGAGAAGCACAUGGACUCUGAAGAUAAAUGACUUUCAAAGCUAAUGAUUGCAUUCCUUUCUCUAAAGUGGAAUGUGAUCGGGAAAGUGAGAGGCUUAAUAACUGCCCAUCAGCGCCUGUGACCCCGCACGGCCCCGGCUAACAACCAGAGCUGCCUGGGAUGCUCGGGGCGAGUAACAUAAGACAAAUUCUGCGAGACACUCUUGCAAUCCUGGUGUGGCACGCAGUCUUCUCGUCUCACUGAAAUACCUUCAAAGCCCUCGUAGAUAUGCCAGCUCGGAUACCAGCUUCUUUUCACAGGUCAUGCAACCUCCAGUCGCCAUUUUCAUUUCUCUGACACGUGUGUUGCUUGUUUGUUUGGUAAACAUGUUACACCUGUCAGAGGCAUGCUGGUUGCUAACGGGCCAAGUCCAACAACAUUUAUUCUAUUCUGCGGACGCUUUCCCCUUCUUCUCGCCUCUCUGCUUUUUCCAUCUGUUGCCCUUGCAGCAGUGAAUACAGUAAGUGUGAAGCAGUGAACGUGUGAGGAAACGUGUGCAUGUGUGUGUGUGUGUGUGUGUGUGUGCUGUGUGUGCUGUGUGUGGAUGUGUUAGCACGCACAAACACAGGCUACUGGGUUGUUGUCUGGAUUGCUGUCUUGUAAUGGAGAUAGAGACACUGUUUUAUUUAUCCCUCCCCCAGCUGUCACUGUUGUGUCUGGAGCGAGUUCGCUGAACUCUGGGCGAUGGGACACUUGGAGAACUGUCAAAUCCACUAACCCUCCAAACCAUGCAGAAUGUUACAGCCCAGAACACACCCUGAUUUCUUAGUAUGGAAAACAACAGGGACAUUCAAGAAAUGUGCAACCUUUAUCUGACUCCUCGCCUUCAUAUUUAUGUGUACAGUAAAAGCAAAACAGCAACAACAACAACAGUUUGUAUGUAAGGACAAUUAAUCAAGGUACUUCUCACCAAAGGACUUUUUUAAAACUCAAAUAACGUGAACCCAGGGAAAGUGGAUGUAUUUCAAAUGUUUGAAAAUGUGAGAGUUCAUACUGUAACAUACUUUUGAGUGUUUUUGAACAGACUCAAGUAACCAUGUCUCUUUAUAAACUUAGGCAAUGUACAAUA